CGAAGCCAGUGACAGGGGGCCCCUGUUCAAAGUCCUUGGGGGGGGGGGAGGCACUUGAAGCCCAUCCGGGUCAGCCUGCAGCCGACUCCCUCCCUUUUCCCUUGCCCUUCCCUUGGUCUACCUUAACCUGGCCUACCUGCACCACUUGGGGCACCAUCCACCUGGUGAAUGACGCCUUUUUUCGUGGGUGCACAUACCUUGCUAUGUCAUCAGCGAUGGAGACCAGCGCUAGGAAGAGGGUGGGCAACAUGAUGAUUACCAAAAUCAAGUUAAUUAAGAUAUCCAUCACCUCACAUUCUAUUAUCACAUGAUAUAUGAUACCAUCAAAUGAAGAAAGAAAAAAAUGUUACUUUGGAUCUGAG
rnacentral:lncRNA from 1 species